rnacentral:lncRNA from 1 species
GACAACAGUUCAUCCUCCUCAUAAUCCAUGUCACUAGAUCUGGACUUCUUUCCAUCUCUUCAACUUCUUCCACAAUUUCAUACUUACCAUUCUUCCAUUUUCUUGAGAGUGAUUAUGGAUGUGCAAUUGGGGGCUGGAAAUGGGCUAUGCUUGAUAUCGACGAUGAUAGAGAUUGAGAUUUGAGGUUUCAUUUUCUCUGAAUGUGCUCAGAGAGAGAGAGAGAGAGAGAGGCAGCACGCAUACAUUAGAAGAGAUGAAGUUACGAAUUUGAGGUUAGGGUUUUGAAAUAUGACUACUGUAAAAUGAAAAGCACCAGUGAAAAUUGCUUGAUAUAUAUUCAAAAUAAUAUUUUGAGUGUCAAAUUAAGUUUUUAAAGCCAAGUAAAAUAUUAGGCGGGUAGUGAAAAUUUAAUAGGGAGAAAUGAAAUUAAAUGGAAAUUG